UACGUAGGGCGCAAGCGUUGUCCGGAAUUAUUGGGCGUAAAGAGCUCGUAGGCGGUUCGUCGCGUCUGCCGUGAAAGUCCGGGGCUCAACUCCGGAUCUGCGGUGGGUACGGGCAGACUAGAGUGAUGUAGGGGAGACUGGAAUUCCUGGUGUAGCGGUGAAAUGCGCAGAUAUCAGGAGGAACACCGAUGGCGAAGGCAGGUCUCUGGGCAUUAACUGACGCUGAGGAGCGAAAGCAUGGGGAGCGAACAGG
rnacentral:rRNA from 1 species